rnacentral:rRNA from 1 species
GCGGUAAUACCAGCUCCCCGAGUGGUAGGGACGAUUAUUGAGCUUAAAGCGUCCGUAGCCGGCUCGACAAGUCUUCCGUUAAAUCCAGCGACCCAAUCGCUGGGCCGCGAAAGAUACUGUCAGGCUAGGGGGCGGAAGAGGCCGACGGUAUUCCCGGAGUAGGGGUGAUAUCCUAUAAUCCCGG